rnacentral:lncRNA from 1 species
UAAACCAAUAAAGACGAAGUGGCGAAUUUCGCUUUGAUGACUCUCGACAAUGAGGUAAACAACUCAAAUGAAUCUUCUUUACUUUACUAUGAAAUUACUUGAUGCUUUUCAUAAAUUAAUUUUAAAUUAAUUAAUAAAAAAAUAAAAAAAAUGUAAAAAUAAUAUCAUGCUUCUCUUUCUAGUGAUUUUGAAAAUAAAAAUAAAAAUUUG